GUGGGUCAGAAUAAGGAUCAUUACCAUAUUCAAAUACUGUCGUCAAAUUGAAUAAUUUUCUUGACAAUCUUUUUUCAGUGUAUCCUCACAUUCACAAUGACAGAAAUGCAUGUUUUAUUUAUAAAAUUGGUUGGUUGUGCUAUCACCCGCAGGCUGAUGCAAGUGGUAUAUUCCAAUUCUCCAGCUCAUAGCUGGUUCUCCAAUAUACUGCCUCCUUUCUAUCCUGGUUAUAUUGAUCCAGCAUCUUCAGACAUUAGGCCCAGCUUUUUGCAGUGAGGUGGAAGGACUGUGGACGUCACAGGGUUGCAGCGGCAGAAGAGGCUAAAUGGUAGUGAUUUCAGACAGCCUGAAGGAAAAGCUAAGCAGAAAUUAGCAGGCUGUUCUGUCGGGACUAUGGAAUAUGAGAAUUGAAGAGAUAAGUGGAAAGGAGACCUGUUCAGUUACAAUGAAUGCAUUUUAGAAAGCCCAUCUGAAAAGUUUGCCUUUGUCGAUAGGAAACUACAGGAAAAUACUGAGAAGCACUAUCAGAGCGGGAGAGUUUGGAAGGAAGCUCGAAGGUAGUCAUGGAAACGAGAAACAGAUCUAAAGCAGAAGCUAAAGAGUCUCCCAAGUCUGCCACAUUGAAAACAAGCACCGCAACAGGGGAUAAGAAAGAAUUUUCUGGCAAACAACCUGAGCCUACCAACGCUCCAAAGAAACAAGCCACUGAGGCGACUGCAGCCAGUCAACCGAAGUCCACAGGGGACAGCUCAGUAACACCACCCGCUGGUACCUCAGAACAGAAGAAGACAGCGGACACCCAGCCAGAAGGCCAGGAUAACAAGGAAGAUACUUCUGAAGGGCACCCCAGCAAUUUUUUUGAAAACAUGAAGCCAUAUAUACUGGGAGGGGCUGCCAUCACAGCCCUUGCAGUACUCAUAGGCGUUGCGUUCAUACUACACAAGAAAUAAGAAAAUGUAUAAAAUUGUAUAUCAAUGCUGGUUCUUUUUUGCAUGCCUGUACAUUGAAGGAAAUACCUUCCAGCCCCUUUAAUCAGUAAUUGUACAACUGUGCUUACUACUAUAAGUCUUGGUUUGAAGUGAUGGUAUUUAACUCAGUGUCCAUAUACGUUGCAAAACUUUUGAAUUAACCUGUAUAUUGUAAGGUGGAUGUUCCCCCAGCCAUUCUUCCAUCCUCACCUUGUACAGAGCUUACAGCAAUGUAAAAUGGGCCACACUUGUUCCCAUGCUAGCUUAACCCCAGUAAAACUUUUCACACACUGUAGGUUCCCCCUAUAAGCAUUCAGUGUAUAUCUUAUAUUCUCAGUAGGAAGCCUUGUAAAAGUAGCCCACUCCCUUGUAGCAAAUAAAAUGAGAUGUAUUUCAGCCGCAUGUAAACCAAUUAUUUUUCUUUCCCCGGGGCCCAUCUCACAUCCACAUGUCUCUCUCUUGCUACAAUCAUUGAUAGCAAUUGCACCAAAAUAAAAACACCUUUAAUUGGAUCAUAGCAAUGAUCAGAGGCACUAAGGUUAUGAGAAAAAAUAAGAGGAAGGCAAAAAAAAACAAAGUGAUAGGACGAAAGCAAUAAAUCUGAGUUCCACUCCGAACUCCCAUUCCUUCUAGAACUUACUAGUAGAUUCUCUGUGUGACUUGUUCUUGGGCCCAUGAGAGUAGUUAAUUCAACUAAUGAUGUCACAUUUAUUUUGACUUAAAACAAGCGUAUACAUGCAAUAAAAAAAAGCUAAGUUUUAAAAAAACACAAAUUAAUAGUUGAAAGUUGAUAGGUAGAGUAGCUGUGCACAGUGUGACCCAGGCUGCUAUUAAUGUAUCCAUCUCUCCUAUACCAACAUACUCUGGACACUGCCUGUUAUUUUAAGUGUUGUAUCAGCUUUUGAGUGAACAGUAAGGUUGGCUAACAGAUGUGCUCGAUGUGGACUACAUAUUCUUUCUGCUGUACAUAAUAAACGUGUUGCUAUUAGUCAGAAUUUGAUGUCUGGCUAUCCUGUUGCUCUAAGGAAUGUAAGACAAUAAAUUAACAUUUCCGAA